AUUGAACGCUGGCGGCAUGCCUUACACAUGCAAGUCGAACGGCAGCGGGGGAGAAGCUUGCUUUUCCUGCCGGCGAGUGGCGAACGGGUGAGUAAUACAUCGGAACGUGCCCUGUAGUGGGGGAUAACUAGUCGAAAGAUUAGCUAAUACCGCAUACGACCUGAGGGUGAAAGUGGGGGACCGCAAGGCCUCAUGCUAUAGGAGCGGCCGAUGUCUGACUAGCUAGUUGGUGGGGUAAAGGCCUACCAAGGCGACGAUCAGUAGCUGGUCUGAGAGGACGAUCAGCCACACUGGGAAUGAGACACGGCCCAGACUCCUACGGGAGGCAGCAGUGGGGAAUUUUGGACAAUGGGCGAAAGCCUGAUCCAGCAAUGCCGCGUGUGUGAAGAAGGCCUUCGGGUUGUAAAGCACUUUUGUCCGGAAAGAAAUGGCUCUGGUUAAUACCUGGGGUCGAUGACGGUACCGGAAGAAUAAGGACCGGCUAACUACGUGCCAGCAGCCGCGGUAA
rnacentral:rRNA from 1 species